rnacentral:rRNA from 1 species
AUUGAACGCUGGCGGCAGGCCUAACACAUGCAAGUCGAACGAGUGGCGGACGGGUGAGUAAUGUCUGGGAACCUGCCUGAUGGAGGGGGAUAACUACUGGAAACGGUAGCUAAUACCGCAUACCAUCGGAUGUGCCCCGAUGGGAUUAGCUAGUAGGUGGGGUAAAGGCUCACCUAGGCCACGAUCCCUAGCUGGUCUGAGAGGAGUACCAGCCACACUGGAACUGAGACACGGUCCAGACUCCUACGGGAGGCAGCAGUGGGGAAUAUUGCACAAUGGGCGCAAGCCUGAUACAGCCAUGCCGCGUGUGUGAAGAAGGCCUUCGGGUUGUAAAGCACUUUCAGCGGGGAGGCGUUACCCGAAGAAGAAGCACCGGCUAACUCCGUGCCAGCAGCCGCGGUAAUUC